AUUAUAUAUGUUGGACUUGAACUUGACUUAGGAGAAAACUAUAGGUUCUACACUGUCAUUUUCUGAAAACUAAUAGAUUUAGCUUUAUGAGCUGUAGUUAGUUUGUAUCGCCGCAGUUUGUACGCGGUGGAUAUACAGAAUAGUGUAGAAUGAAAUUACGCUCGUGCUCGGAUAUCGAGUUUAUUUUUACAGUAGUGUAUAGACUGUUCCGCACUGUCGGGUGCCGUCGCGGUUGACGGUGGAUCCAGAUUUCUAUAUUUUUCAUCAGAUUGUGCCAAA
rnacentral:lncRNA from 1 species